rnacentral:tRNA from 1 species
UGGCGGGUGGCCGCCGGUACGUGGCGGCGCUGGUCCCGGCCGUGGACCGGGCCCGGUUCGAGGCCGGGCUCGCCGCC